UAUUUUGUGUCACUAAAGCGAUACCAGUAAUUUAAUUCAUUUUGAGUUUUGGCCGGAGUUUCCCUUUAAUAGGUUGAAAAAAUUUACCAUCAAGAAUGGAGUGCGGUUAUUCCUUCAACAUCUUCCUUAGGCGACACCUUCUGAAGCAAAAUUUCACAAAAGGUGAACCUCUAUAAAUAGGUACAGUGUCCCCCAACUAAUCCGGGUCUCUUUUUCUCUUUCUCUUUCUCUAGGACGCAGACAAUACUUUGAAGUGGACAGUCUCCCAAAGAGGGCGAGGAGGAGAGGCACCUUAUGAAGUGAAGGGAAAGGAGAAAAGGGAAACCUCAUCAGGCAGUGGAGGAAAGGAGGGACUUCGGAAAGGAGGAAGAUGAACGGAGCCUAACAAAAGGAAGGAGGAACCAAAAGAAAAUGAGGCGCGACGGUGCCGAAGCUUCCGGUAAGAAGCAAGCAAACAAGCAAACAAAUAUUUCCCUCCCUUUUAGAGAGGUGUCAUCUGCUAGCAACUCAACCCGCCAACUGCAAACAGCCGUCCCCAUUGACAUUGUGCUGACGCCUGGGCCAUGUGGAACUGGAGGUAGCCAAGUCAUCAAAGAAGAUACGACUUCGGCUCAUUCAGAAACCAUGCGAACUACGGCGUAAGAGGCCCGGGGCACCGGGACAGCUGGCUGAAUAAACACCUAAGCCUUUCAAACACUGACGU